ACCGGUCCGGAAAAUUACAAGCAAGUAUUUUGCUUUUUGAUUGGUUAAUUUUAAAACGUGGCGGUUUUGAUUCGCAUAAAAUUUGUAUGUGGAAAAUUAAUUUCCGUUUGAUGCUUAUCUAGAAUUAAAUCCAAUGAGCGUACGAUUGAUUGUUACUAAUUGCGUGAAUCGUACUUGAGGUAGCGGUCAGUAUGGAUAGUUACCGAAUACUGCUGUUUGUGACAAUAUUGGCGUUGGCCACAGCUCGUUAUGACUAUGUCAAAUAUGGACGACAAGAUGACGGAGUAUUUCCAUCGAAUUUGAAGAAUAUGCCGUACUAUUGCUACCAAGCGCCCGACAAGGGAGCAUGUCAGGGUACCUACGUAGCUUUCUUCUUCGAUAUGGUGCGGAGGCAAUGUAUGCCGAUGAUCUAUACGGGAUGCGGAGGCAACGAGAACUUGUUUAGAACCAGAUCAGAAUGCGUGAUUAAAUGUGACAAAAGUCGGAGGAUUUAAUGUUUUUGAAUUAAAUUAUGAUUUUCUAUAA